rnacentral:lncRNA from 1 species
UAACACAAGAUCAUUCAAGAGAGAAGAAAGUGAAAGAGGUUCAAGGGAGUUAGUGCUUUCAAGAGGAGAAAUCAAGUGCAUUCAAGCUUUCCCAUCUGAUUUUGUGCUCAACUACUCACUCCCACUCGGCAUUCAAAGCUCACAUUCAAUCCAACGCGAUCCACAUCGGAAGAACCACCAUUACCCACACUUCCAACGGCAAAAAGGGUUCUUCCGGGUUUUGUUAUUUCUCAUUGAUAUAUUUGUCUUCUUAAGAGCUUUCAAAUUUUUGUGAAACACUCAUUUAUUGUGCUUGUU